rnacentral:misc_RNA from 1 species
GAUGAAGAACGUAGCGAAAUGCGAUAAGUAAUGUGAAUUGCAGAAUUCAGUGAAUCAUCGAAUCUUUGAACGCACAUUGCGCCCCUUGGUAUUCCGAGGGGCAUGCCUGUUCGAGCGUCAUUAUAACCCCUCAAGCUCAGCUUGGUGUUGGGGCCUGCUGCACUGGCAGCCCUUAAAAUCAGUGGCGGCGCCAUCUGGUUCUAAGCGUAGUAAUUCUUCUCGCUAUGGAGUCCUGGUGGAUGCUUGCCAUCAACCCCCAAUUUUUCUAUGGUUGACCUCGGAUCAGGUAGGGAUACCCGCUGAACUUAAGCAUAUCAAUAAGCGGAGGA